CCUACGGGGUGCAGCAGUGGGGAAUCUUGCUCAAUGGGCGAGAGUCUGACGCAGCAAAGUAGCGUGAUGGAAGGAUGGCCUAUGGGUUGUAAACUUCUUUUGUCUGGGAAUAACAUGUUCUGCGUAUGGGAUUUUGUAUGUAGCUUAUGAAUUAGAAUCGGCUAACUCCGUACCAGCCGCCGCGGUAAUAAGGAGGAAGCGAGCGUUAUUCGGAUUUAUUGGGUGUACAGGAAGCGUAGGUGGGUGGUUACGUCAGUUGUGAAAGUUUGCGGCUCAACCGGGAUAGUGAAGUUGAUACUGGCUGUCUUGAGUGCAGGAGAGGUGAGUGGAAUUCGUAGUGUAGCGGUGAAAUGCUUAGAUAUCAGGAAGAACUCCGAUGGCGAAGGCGGUUCACUGGACUGUAACUGACACUGAGGCGCGAAAGCGUGGGUAGCAAACAGGAUUAGAUACCCUUGUAGUC
rnacentral:rRNA from 1 species